rfam:Camelus ferus unplaced genomic scaffold scaffold185, whole genome shotgun sequence.
GAGAGUAUAGCUCACUGGUAGAGGGCAUGCUUAGCGUGCACAAGGUCCUGGGUUCAAUCCCCAGUACUUCCA